rnacentral:rRNA from 1 species
UACGAAGGGGGCUAGCGUUGCUCGGAAUCACUGGGCGUAAAGCGCACGUAGGCGGCUUUUAAGUCAGGGGUGAAAUCCUGGAGCUCAACUCCAGAACUGCCUUUGAUACUGAGAAGCUUGAGUCCGGGAGAGGUGAGUGGAACUGGCGAGUGUAGAGGUGAAAUUCGUAGAUAUUCGCAAGAACACCAGUGGCGAAGGCGGCUCACUGGCCCGGUACUGACGCUGAGGUGCGAAAGCGUGGGGAGCAACAGGG